ensembl:rRNA 5S_rRNA 5S ribosomal RNA
ACUGGCAGCUAGCUCUCUGCAACAAUCACAUGGUCGCCAACUGAAGCAAAGCAAUGCUGCGCACGUUUAGUACCUGAAUGGGAGACCACAUGGGAAAGCUAGGUUGCUGCUGUAAGUG